rnacentral:rRNA from 1 species
CCUACGGGUGGCAGCAGUGAGGAAUAUUGGUCAAUGGACGAGAGUCUGAACCAGCCAAGUAGCGUGAAGGAUGACUGCCCUAUGGGUUGUAAACUUCUUUUAUAAGGGAAUAAAACGAGGCACGUGUGCCUUUUUGCAUGUACCUUAUGAAUAAGGAUCGGCUAACUCCGUGCCAGCAGCCGCGGUAAUACGGAGGAUCCGGGCGUUAUCCGGAUUUAUUGGGUUUAAAGGGAGCGUAGAUGGGUUGUUAAGCAAGUUGUGAAAGUUUGCGGCUCAACCGUAACAUUGCAGUUGAUACUGGCAGUCUUGAGUACAGUAGAGGUAGGCGGAAUUCGUGGUGUAGCGGUGAAAUGCUUAGAUAUCACGAAGAACCCCGAUUGCGAAGGCAGCUUACUAUACUGUGACUGACACUGAGGCUCGAAAGUGCGGGUAUCAAACAGGAUUAGAUACCCGUGUAGUC